AGAAUCAACGCUGGCGGCGUGCCUAACACAUGCAAGUCGAACGAGAAAGUGGAGCAAUCCAUGAGUAAAGUGGCGCACGGGUGAGUAACACGUGACUAACCUACCCUUGAGUGGGGGAUAACCUGGGGAAACCCGGGCUAAUACCGCAUAAUACCUACGGGUCAAAGGAGCAAUUCGCUUGAAGAGGGGUCGCGGCAGAUUAGUUAGUUGGCGGGGUAAUGGCCCACCAAGACGAUGAUCUGUA
rnacentral:rRNA from 1 species